CCCUUACGACCAGGGCUACACACGUGCUACAAUGGCAUAUACAAAGAGAAGCGACCUCGCGAGAGCAAGCGGACCUCAUAAAGUAUGUCGUAGUCCGGAUUGGAGUCUGCAACUCGACUCCAUGAAGUCGGAAUCGCUAGUAAUCGUAGAUCAGAAUGCUACGGUGAAUACGUUCCCGGGCCUUGUACACACCGCCCGUCACACCAUGGGAGUGGGUUGCAAAAGAAGUAGGUAGCUUAACCUUCGGGAGGGCGCUUACCACUUUGUGAUUCAUGACUGGGGUGAAGUCGUAACAAGGUAACCGUAGGGGAACCUGCGGUUGGAUCACCUCCUUACCUUAAAGAA
rnacentral:rRNA from 1 species